AUUGAACGCUGGCGGAAUGCUUUACACAUGCAAGUCGAGCGGCAGCACGGGGGCAACCCUGGUGGCGAGCGGCGAACGGGUGAGUAACACAUCGGAACAUGCCCAGUCGUGGGGGAUAACACUUCGAAAGAAGUGCUAAUACCGCAUACGUCCUGAGGGAGAAAGCGGGGGAUCGCAAGACCUCGCGCGAUUGGAGUGGCCGAUGUCAGAUUAGCUAGUUGGUGGGGUAAAGGCCUACCAAGGCAACGAUCUGUAGCUGGUCUGAGAGGAUGAUCAGCCACACUGGGACGGAGACACGGCCCAGACUCCUUCGGGAGGCAGCAGUGGGGAAUUUUGGACAAUGGGGGCAACCCUGAUCCAGCCAUUCCGCGUGAGUGAAGAAGGCCUUCGGGUUGUAAAGCUCUUUCGGCAGGAACGAAACGGUGAGCUCUAACAUAGCUUGCUAAUGACGGUACCUGAAAAAGAAGCACCGGCUAACUACGUG
rnacentral:rRNA from 1 species